rnacentral:rRNA from 1 species
UGAAUACCAGACGCUACGGCGUUGAAGCAGUGUAUGUCAGACUUCCAAGAAAAGCUCGCAAUGUCCGAAAUAAAAUAAUGCCUGUACCAUAACCGACACAGGUGGGUAGGUAGAGUAUACUAAGGGGCGCGAGAUAACUCUCUCUAAGGAACUCGGCAAAAUAACUCCGUAACUUCGGGAGAAGGAGUGCCUUAUUUUAAGGUUGCAAUAACAAGAUCCAAGCAACUGUUUACCAAAAACACAGGUCUCCGCUAAGUCGUAAGACGAUGUAUGGGGGCUGACGCCUGCCCAGUGCCAGAAGGUUAAAGAAGUUGGUUAGCUAUUGCGAAGCUGAUGACUGAAGCCCUGGUGAACGGCGGCCGUAACAAUAACGGUCCUAAGGUAGCGAAAUUCCUUGUCGGGUAAGUUCCGACCCGCACGAAAGGCGUAAUGAUUUGGAUACUGUCUCGGAGAGGGGCUCGGUGAAAUAGACUUGUCUGUGAAGAUGCGGACUACCUGCACCUGGACAGAAAGACCCUAUGAAGCUUUACUGUAACUUGAAAUUGAAAUUGGACUUUAUUUGCGCAGUAUAGGUGGGAGGCGUUUGAAGAUAUUCUUGCGGGAAUGUUGGAGCCAUUAGUGAGAUACCACUCUUGUAAUGUUAGAUUUCUAACUUUGUACCAUAAUCUGGUCAAAGAACAGUUUCAGGCGAGCAGUUUGACUGGGGCGGUCGCCUCCCAAAUGGUAACGGAGGCGUACAAAGGUUUCCUCUGAACGUGUAGAAAUCGUAUCUAGAGUGUAAAGGCAUAAGGAAGCUUGACUGUGAGACCUACAAGUCAAGCAGGGACGAAAGUCGGUCUUAGUGAUCUGACGGUACUGAGUGGAAAGGCCGUCACUCAACGGAUAAAAGUUACUCUAGGAUAACAGGCUGAUCUCCCCCAAGAGUUCACAUCGACGGGGAGGUUUGGCACCUCGAUGUCGGCUCAUCGCAUCCUGGGGCGGUAGUACGUCCCAAGGGUUGGGCUGUUCGCCCAUAAAAGCGGUACGCGAGCUGGGUUAGAACGUCGUGAGACAGUUCGGUCCAUAUCCGGUGUAGGCGUUAGAAUAUUGAGAGGAGCCUUCUUUAGUACGAGAGGACCGAGAAGGACAUACCUCUGGUGUACCAGUUAUCGUGCCAACGGUAAACGCUGGGUAGCUAUGUAUGGAGAGGAUAACCGCUGAAAGCAUCUAAGUGGGAAGCCCACCUCGAGAUGAG